rnacentral:rRNA from 1 species
UACGAAGGGGGCUAGCGUUGUUCGGAAUUACUGGGCGUAAAGCGCGCGCAGGCGGCUAUCCAAGUCAGUGGUGAAAGCCCGGAGCUCAACUCCGGAACUGCCAUUGAAACUGUUUAGCUUGAGGACGAGAGAGGUGAGUGGAAUUCCCAGUGUAGAGGUGAAAUUCGUAGAUAUUGGGAAGAACACCGGUGGCGAAGGCGGCUCACUGGCUCGGUACUGACGCUCAGGCGCGAAAGCGUGGGGAGCAAACAGG